CUGUGGAUUUGUAGAACUGACUCAGCUGUUGCCGUUCCCUUAGCAAGUCCCAAGGCAAAAUCAGGAAUCUUCAGGAAUGGAAGCUGGGAGCAAGCCUUGAUUAAUAGUCUAGGAUACAGGACAGUAAUGUUCAGAGAAAAGCACCUGUACAAAUGUUACUAGAUCUAAAACGAUUCUACAUGGUGUCAGAAAACAAAACCAGAUGGUAUUAAAAAUGGCAGUGACGGCUUUGACGUGAAAAGUUUCUGUCAACUAGUCCCGGAACACUGAGCUCCCUAUGCAGUGUCCUCUCUUCCCGCCUUCAUUUUAUACCCGGAUCACAGCACGUUACCCGUGCACAAGCGAGCGGUUCUGUUAUGCACUGCUUGGAAUCAUCAUGAGCAAGUCCGUUCUGAAUCACAUCAUUCAUUCUGUGCUGGUUUCAGCAGUCAUCAUAGGAAACAUGAAGUCACAUCCUAGUCGAAGGACUAUCCAUUUCUCAAACACAGAAAAACCUGAGAUAUGAGUCAGCAACUAGCUACACUUACAGUAAAGAAAAAUGACAACACCCCCAUCCCCCCCCCCCAAAAGAAAAGCUGCUGACGUGAAUUAAGGCUUCAAAAGAGGACCAUACUGUAGCUGACAAGACUCAAGCCGGGAAGUUUAAAAGCAGGUAUGUACUAAUCACUUGUGUACUCGCUCCAAUUAACUCCUCUAUUUUCAGCUGCCAGGAUUGAGUCUAUACAGUGAUUGUAGGUCAAAGACUGAGAGACCACCUUGGUCCUGCUCCAUUUUGAUAUGUCCUUUCUAC